rnacentral:rRNA from 1 species
GACGAACGCUGGCGGCGUGCUUAACACAUGCAAGUCGAACGGAAAGGCCCUGCUUUUGUGGGGUGCUCGAGUGGCGAACGGGUGAGUAACACGUGAGUAACCUGCCCUUGACUUUGGGAUAACUUCAGGAAACUGGGGCUAAUACCGGAUAGGAGCUCCUGCUGCAUGGUGGGGGUUGGAAAGUUUCGGCGGUUGGGGAUGGACUCGCGGCUUAUCAGCUUGUUGGUGGGGUAGUGGCUUACCAAGGCUUUGACGGGUAGCCGGCCUGAGAGGGUGACCGGCCACAUUGGGACUGAGAUACGGCGCAGACUGCUACGGGAGGCAGCAGUGGGGAAUAUUGCAGAAUGGGGGGAAGCCUGAUGCAGCAACGCCGCGUGCGGGAUGACGGCCUUCGGGUUGUAAACCGCUUUCGCCUGUGACGAAGCGUGAGUGACGGUAAUGGGUAAAGAAGCACCGGCUAACUACGUG